CGGUAUUUUGACCGUGCUAAGGUAGCAUAAUCAAUUGUUUUUUAAUUGAAAACUAGUAUGAACGGUUUAAUUUACUUAAUUAGUUUGUAAUUUUUAAUAGUAAGUUAAAUAUAAAGUAAGAAUUCUUUAAUAAAUUAGGGGACGAUAAGACCCUAAAAGCUUUAUGAUUGGCAUUUAAUUAGUGAUAGCGGUGUUAUUAAUUCACUGGGGCAGUGAGUUUAGGUAUAUUUAAGUAUAAUUAAAAGCUCCUUUAAAUAAAGAUUUCAUGUAUAAGUUACUUUAGGGAUAACAGUGCAAUAUAUUUGGGGAGACCAUAUCUAUAAAUAUGAUUGCAACCUCGAUGUUGAAAUUAAAAUA
rnacentral:rRNA from 1 species